AUGUAACGUUGGUCAAGUGCUCAGCUGCUGCAUUGCUCAACCUCGACGUACAUUGAUUCUCAAAAUGAAGAGGUCUAAACUCUUAUCUGUUAAAUAUUAUUUUCUUUUUUUUAUCAAUUUUUUAAUUAGAUUGUAACAUACAAAACAUACAAAGAACGAAGACCUGAGACAGACCUACAAGGCAACUUUAUUUAAAUAGCACUUUUCAUGCACAAGGCAGACUCAAAGUGCCUCUAAACAUUGUCAUACAAUAAAAUAAAAUAAUAGAUGAGUAAAAUAAGACAUAUGCAAAGAAAUGGGUAAAAUAGAAAGUUACAAAGGCAUUUUUGUAUUAAAAUAGAAAAUUAAGGCAAAGUUUAAAAAAAAGCAAUGUAUUUAAGAUUUAGCAGAAAGCUAAAGCAAACAUAAAAGUCUUCAGUCUUGUUUUAAAGGUGCUCAGAGUCGGCAAGUCUUAAAUCCUCUGGGAGUUUAUUCCAGCUAUUUGUUGCAGAGUAACUAAAUCCUGCUUUCCCAUGUUUCGUGUUUACUCUGGGGAUAAUUAACAGAUUGGUCUCAGAGGAUCUUAGUGGUCUAGAAGGCUUAUGUAGUGGAAGCAUAUCAGUUAAAUAUUUUGGGCCUAAACCAUGUAGGGAUUUAUAGGUUAGCAACAUGAUUUUAAAUGUAAUAUGUUCAAAUUUCUUGGACUUUGUUAAAACUCUAGCAGCAGCAUUCUGAACAAGCUGAAGCUUCCUCAGAGUUUGUUUUGGGAGACCUGUAAGGAGACCAUUGCCGUAAUGACUGGAGAGAGUUGUUAACUAUCUGCAAUAUAUCUACUGCUAGGCAUUCGAAAACAUUCUUAAAGAGGUUGGUAGGUAAAGUAUCAAGGCAACAGGUCGAUGGCUUUAGUUGUGUCACAAUUUCCACAAGAUUUUGAGAGUCUAUAACAAUAAAGCAUGCCAUCCUUGCCACGUUACUUUUGCCUGAACAAAAGUAGUCCAACAUUUUUGUCUGAAGUGGAGAUAUUGAUGGCGCGUCUGAUGCCUUCAAUUUUAUCAGUAUAAAAAGCUUUAUUUAUUUUUUCUGCGUGGAAUGGAGAUCAGGUGGAAUUUGUGUUGGGGGGUUGGUAAGUCUGUCAACAGUUGCAAAUAGGGUUUUUGCAUUAUCAGUGUUGGUUUUAAUGAUAUUGGAGAAAUAUGUUUCUCUAGCACUUUUUAAGUCUAAAUUGUAGGCACGGAAGCUCUCUUUAUAGAUAUCAUGGUGAAUAUGAAGUUUUGUUUUACUUCAGAUGCGUUCAACCUUCCUGCAUUCUUUUUUCUGUGCUGUUACAGAAGCAGCUUUUCUCCAGGGUGCCUUUUGCUUUCCAGAAAUCGUGGAAAAUUAAGGUGGAAAAUUUAAUUUGAGAGUUUGCCUUUCCAAAUUAAUUAAAUUAAAGGUCCCAUGCCAUGAAAAUAACUAACAUUAAUAUGAGUUCCCGUACAUACUGUAUCCCUUUAUGCAAAUAAUGAAUCAAUACCUUUACUUUCUCUCCAUCUUUUUUUGCCUCAGAAGGCGGCAAUGACAUCAGAGGCCGUUUCCCAAUUUGCGUACUUGUGCCUGCUCGUGGACCCGUGAAACGUCAUCAGUCGUUGCCCGAGCACUGUUCCAAUUCGAAGUACACAUCAAGCGAGUACUGUCGUAAAACCCGGAAGUGUUCUUGAUGCGUGCUCGAUCUCGCCGUUUCACCGAGCAUGCAUCGGAGCUGGCUCGUGUGUACUUGCAACCGCUAUAAAUCCCAGGAUGCAUUUCGCACUCGCAGCAGUACGAUGGCGGACAAUAUGGAGAAGACGCACAACUGGACAAUUGAAGAAACAAGGGCCCUCAUCGAGUGGCGGGGGGCAAAUGAAGCUCGGUUCACUGGCCUCCGCAACUCCUCUGCUACGGGAUGGGAGGACUUAAUUUCCACUUCUGGCCUGGAUAUUUCCACCAAACAGGCCAUGAAGAAGUGGAACAAUCUGAAGCUCAAGUACAAAUCGCUUAGGGACCCACCCACAGGCAGAGGGGGAGAGUCCGGUACAGCUACUGCCGCCACCUGGCAGUGGUAUGGUGCCAUGGAUGCUGCACUCCAGGGACAUCACUCCAUCUGUCCGCCCCUGGUUGUUGCAUCCAACAUGACUGCCGCUACAGGUGGGGUAGUAAGCACACCGGCUUCUACCUCUUCUGCUGAGGAGGCCAGGGGAAGCAGCAGCAGAAAGAGACCCAGGGACAGCCUGCUGGAGCUUUUGAGGGAGCAGGGAGAAAGGGACGAGGAGAGAGAGAGAGAGGCAGUGGCGAGAGAGGCGGAGAGGGAGAGGGCGGCAGCAGUCAGGGCUGAACCGUGCCUGUCCUGGUUUGAAAAAUUAAUCUCCAAGAUGUAAAUAUUAUUCUAAAUUCAUCUGCUCAUUCUUGAAAGCAAAAGUGUAUUUUUAUGUUACAUUUCACAUGCAUACUGGCAAAUUCAGAGUUACACAAGGACUUCAGGAGGCAAGAGUUUGAAGGAGAAAACCGCUGCUUUAUUAAGCAUAAAAAACUGAGACGAUAUCUGCUGAAAGUUGAUGAAAAAAAUAUAUGUACAUUUAUUGACAAAGCUAGGAAUAUAUAUAUGCAUACAAA